GGCAUCCCUUUCUCGGUAUAACCAGGUACAGUGAAGUUAAAAACAAGGCUGCUACUAAGAACAAAAAUCAUACCAUCAGCCACAACUGGACAUGGAUCACAUUUUCCGGCGUUCAUAGACACACCCCUUUUCAUCGAACCUUUGCCGUCAACCAAAAUUGAUCAAGAGGAGCUAAUUCGUCCUCAAGUCAUGUUCCCCACCAAGAAAGUAGAAUUCAGACCCCAACUGGACGGAGCAGAUUUGUCUGCGAUAUUCUUGUUCCAGAAAUUCAAAAAUCGGAGAGAGAUGAGGUUCCUCUGUACUCAUUUUCUCUGCGAAUCCAGUUUUGAUAAAGGAAGUUUAAACAAGGAUAGGUUAGG
rnacentral:misc_RNA from 1 species